AAUAGAUACCCUGGUAGUCCUAGCCGUAAACGAUACUCGCUAGGUGUCGGCCACGGUGCGACCGUUGUCGGUGCCGUAGGGAAGCCGUGAAGCGAGCCACCUGGGAAGUACGGCCGCAAGGCUGAAACUUAAAGGAAUUGGCGGGGGAGCACCACAACGGGUGGAGCUUGCGGUUUAAUUGGAUUCAACGCCGGAAAUCUUACCGGGACCGACAGCAACAUGAAGGCCAGGCUGAAGACUUUGCCGGAUUAGCUGAGAGGUGGUGCAUGGCCGUCGUCAGUUCGUACUGUGAAGCAUCCUGUUAAGUCAGGCAACGAGCGAGACCCACGCCCACAGUUGCCAGCGUACUCUCCGGGAGUGACGAGUACACUGUGGGGACCGCCGCUGCUAAAGCGGAGGAAGGAAUGGGCAACGGUAGGUCAGUAUGCCCCGAAUAUCCCGGGCUACACGCGAGCUACAAUGGUUGGUACAAUGGGUAUCUACCCCGAAAGGGGAUGGAAAUCUCCUAAAGCCAAUCUUAGUUCGGAUUGAGGGCUGCAACUCG
rnacentral:rRNA from 1 species